AUACAUCCGUCAAGACAAAGCCGAGACAAGUAAUUCAGGACAGAGGGAGUAAUAAGCUGGACAUCAGGACAAGUUGAGCAAGUACCAGUCUGUCUGUUUAUCAUUCUGAUGUCAAAUGAUAGAAGGAAACGAAGUACAGGAGGAUCUAGCCCGUUUGUUCAGAAACAAAACUACCGAAGGCCCGAAGCAUUCUACCGACAUGCCACUCGGAUCUCUAAGUGUCUCAGAUUCUCGUUGUAUUCAUAUAUUUUUGCUCAACUACCACUGUGUUCAUCCUAGCUGCCUCGGUGUGGAAUGUUGUUUGCUCUGGCUGUGCAAUCUGUUUGAAGAACAAGAUGACCAAAGGUGCCGCGGCUGGUGCUCCUCAUUUUGUUCCUAUGCUACUCAUGAUUCAUGAACCCUGCAGCAGAAAAUGAGUGAAACAAAUUAACGAAGGCGUUGAAGGUUUCAUUCAAUGGGAAAGAGAAGUUAAGCAUUAUUUGCACAUUAGUAUAUCUGCAAGCUUAUUACUGUGGAAAUAUCAACCCUGGAUGGGGCUGUGCAGUCUGAUUGUCUGCUGUCAGAUAUGGUACAUGGGGCUGUGCAGUCUGAUUGUCUGCUGUCAGAUAUGGUACAUGUACGAGACUUUGCAGUAUUCAUGCUAGAGGAACUUGG
rnacentral:lncRNA from 1 species